CCAGACUCCUACGGGAGGCAGCAGUGAGGAAUAUUGGUCAAUGGCCGAGAGGCUGAACCAGCCAAGUCGCGUGAGGGAAGACGGCCCUACGGGUUGUAAACCUCUUUUGUCGGGGAGCAAAGCGAGUCACGUGUGACUCAUUGAGAGUACCCGAAGAAAAGGCAUCGGCUAACUCCGUGCCAGCAGCCGCGGUAAUACGGAGGAUGCGAGCGUUAUCCGGAUUUAUUGGGUUUAAAGGGUGCGCAGGCGGAGGUGCAAGUCAGCGGUCAAAUUGCGGGGCUCAACCCCGUACUGCCGUUGAAACUGGCGUUCUUGAGUGGGCGAGAAGUAUGCGGAAUGCGUGGUGUAGCGGUGAAAUGCAUAGAUAUCACGCAGAACUCCGAUUGCGAAGGCAGCGUACCGGCGCCCAACUGACGCUCAUGCACGAAAGCGUGGGUAUCGAACAGGAUUAGAUACCCUCGUA
rnacentral:rRNA from 1 species